GGAGAAGUACUCAAGCGGCUGAAGAGGGCGGUUUGCUAAACCGUUAGAGCGGGUGACCGCUGCGGGAGUUCGAAUCUCCCCUUCUCCGCCA
rnacentral:tRNA from 1 species